AAGUCGUAACAAGGUUUCCGUAGGUGAACCUGCGGAAGGAUCAUUAACCUUUCAAAUCAGGGUGCGUCGCGGCCCCCGAGGAGCGGAAACAAUCCUUGGGAGGUAUGCGGGGGCUUCGAGCCCCCCAUUUACGCACGCACGACUGCCAUCCUUACUUUACGAGCACCUUCUGUUCUCCCUCGGCGGGGCAACCUGCCGUUGGAACCGAAUAAACUCUUUUUGCAUCUAGCAUUACCUGUUCCGAAACAAACAAUCGUUACAACUUUCAACAAUGGAUCUCUUGGCUCUG
rnacentral:misc_RNA from 1 species